UGGCUACAAAUGCUAUGAUUCAUUGUCCAAACGUGUUCUAAUCUCUCGUCAUGUGUACUUCGAUGAGACAGGCUUCCCUUUUACGUAGAAACAGCGAUGCAGAUGAUCGGGACUCUCCACCAUCAACCGUGCCUGGAUGACAUGAUCCUGAUCCCCACUAGUUCAUGCUAGCCAUGACAUCAUGUGCGGUCAUCAACCCGCAUGUCCACGCCUCCUCCAUCCG
rnacentral:lncRNA from 1 species